rnacentral:lncRNA from 1 species
UGUAUAAACCUAAUUCUAAUCCUUUAGUUUUCAGAACAGCUGGCCUCCAAAAGAACUAUCAUUUCCCAUCACCAGGUACAUCUGUAAAAUAGCAGAUUUGCAUCAUAUCUUUUGCUUUUCUACUACGUUUUCAAAAAAUUAAUUGUUUCCUCAUUCAUUUCAAAGGUCACCCACUUUUCUUCUUCUCUUUCGGUCCAAAGCUUUGUUUCCUCUUUCAUUUCAAAUGUCACUCCCUUUUCUUCUUUAAUAACAUUUCAAGCGUUGCAAACACUCCUUCUUCCCUUUCGGUCCAAAGCUCUUAGACUUAACUGCUCCAUAUCUCUUCGGAUGGUGUCUGGAAUCCCUCCCUCAGGUAAUAAUCCUCUCCUUUGUUAAGCGUUUUUCUUGCGAUUAUAUCAGCACAUGUGUUUUCAGUCCUUGGGAUAAACUGAAAUCGGAUCUCUUGAAAAUAACUCUUUGUUGCUUGAAUGUCUCUGAUGAGUGCUCCAAUAAUUGAACUGUCAUGAUCUGCACUUUGGCAUUUUGUUAUAACCGUUUUUGAAUCGCCUAUUAUGUUUAGAACAGUAAAGCCCAUUUGCUUCCCUAACCUUGUGGCUGUAACCCUGCAUGUGCUUCUAUCGCGAACGGAGACGCUACGUUGGAAUGAAGAACCGAUUUAGAGGCUAAGAUUCUACCCCCAUGUCUUUUACAACCAAACCUGACGCAGAUCUGGAAGCUUGCUGAUUGUAAGCCACAUCAAAAUAAAUUUCCAAGUUUGCUCUCCGUUCGGUUUGUGGAGAACUCAUUUUUGCUUCCAAACUAAGUGUUCUUUCCUCUAUUCCUUCUAACUCUAAUAUGUAACAGGUGAUUUGUUUUGAAAUAUCCCAACUGUUAAGCUUUCUUCAUUCAUAUAUUAACUUGUUUCUGUUCGACCAGAUCAUCCAGAGUCUACAGUAAAAAAUUAUGCAUUGCUUAUUCGUUUCACGAUUAAAAACCCUGGUAAGCCAAUCCCAUAACACUGAAGAAAUAUUAUCAAGUACCUAUGCAAAAUUUAACAGUCUCCAUACUUCUUUUGUUGUAGGGAAGAAUCGGAAAACAUGGUUGAUAUCCUCAACAUCUUGCUGACACCUAAGACACCGAUCUACCGUAAUCACUCUCUUCAGCUUUAAAUUAGAAAAAGUGGGGAUGUAAUUCCACGAUAACCUCCAUACUGUAAUUUUUAUUUUUGAGGGCAUGUUUAAGCUCUAUAGUUUCUUGUAAAAAUUUUUAGUAUCGGUUUGUAUAAUAUUACUAGGAAUCAAUGUAGAUUCUUUUAAUAGUUUAUAGGCACUCUGCACUAAAAAAUUCCCUGAUGGCUCCCCUCUCCACACUUGAAAAUCUUCAUAUACUGAUUUCACCAACGUGAUUUGCAGGAUUUUCCUAGCAAUAUUCGCAUCAAAGGUAUUGACAAUCAAAUCAUUUUUCCAAGUUCUAUUACCUUCAUCAAUUAAGUCAGACACUAAUCUGAUGUUUUUAUUUCUGCAAUGAUAUUGUAAUCUGUCUUCUUCAUUACCCGACACCCAAAGAUCAAUCCACACUGAUAUGCCAUCUCCCCUACCUACUCUCCAGCAAAAGCCUUUCUCUAGUAUCCCUUUUGCUGACCAAAUACUUCUCUAGGUAAGUGAAGGUAAGUUUCCUAAUUGAGCGUUUAAAAAAUUUGUAUUCGGAUAGUACUUGGCUUUUAAGACACGGGCUAACAAAGAAUUGGGAUAAUUAAUAAGACGCCAACCCUACUUAGUUAAUAAUGCGAUAUUAAAUUUAUCUAAACUUCGAAAACCAAGACCACCAAAUUCUUUCAGCACACAAAUAUCUUUCUAGGCACACCAAUGAAUCCCUUUUUUCCCUUUAUUUUUUCCCCCAAAAUUUAGAAAUUAUUCCCUCUAAUUCUGUGCAUAGCGACUUGGGAAGCAAGAAACACGUCAUUGAAUAAGUUGGUAUAAACUAUAGAACGACUUUAAUAAAUGCCUCUUUACCACCUCGGGAUAGAUACUUGAUGCUCUAAUUAUCAAUUGUUGCCGUAAUCUGUCUUUCAAAAUUGAAAUGCAUCUUUCUUUUUCCUUCCCACCAUAUUAGGUAAACCUAGUUAUCGUUCAGAAUCAUUGGAACUGCAAACUCCAAGCACUCUAGUUAUUGUUCUUCUGACUUCCUUCUCUGUAUUAGUGCUGAAGAAAGUAGUAGAUUUAGAAAAAUUAACUUUUUAACCUGAACAAAUUUCGUAUUCAUGUAGUAUCUGUUUCAAACAAGUUGUACUCAUUUCCAUUGUUGUCCCAAAUAAAAUGCAAUCAUCUGCAAAAAGUAGGUGAGAAAUCUGAGGGUCGCUUCUGCUUGCCUUAACUCCUCUCAUUGAUUUUAUCCCUAGCUUCAUAAGGUUGGAAAAACCUUCUUUACAGAAUAAGAAUAAGAAUGGACUCAACGGAUCAUCCUGUCUUAAUCCUUUUGAAGGGAAAAAAGUUUUCCCUUUAUUCCCAUUUAAGAAAACCAAGUAAGAUACUAUAGUAACACAUUUCAUAAGUAGAGCCACCUAGUCCAGAUCAAAUCCCAACUUCUUCAUUAUAUCUUCCACAAAAUUCCAUUCAACCCUAUCAUAGACUUUGCUCGUAUUCAAUUUUACCGCCAUAAAUCCCUUUUUCCCUCCCUACUGUGUCUCAAUGUAUGUAGAAGUUCAUAAGCCAACAAGACAUUAUCUGAAAUUAAACUCACUGGAACAAAAGCGCUUUGGGCCAGAUCUAUACAUUUAUUCAUUAACAAUCGAAGACGAUUUGCCAUAACUUUAGGCAAUAAUUUGUAAAUUACAUUACACAAACUAAUUGGCCUAAACUGAGUUAUAUCUGAUGGAUUUGCAACCUUUGGAAUCAACACAAUAUUUUUUUUGUUAAUUAAGUCGAUAUCUAUACCUCCAUUCAGAUGAUUAAGGCAAUAAGUUGUGACGUCUUCCCCGAUAAUUGCUGAGCACUUCUAAUAAAAUAUUGUCGGAAAACUAUCCUCUCCUGGUGCUUUUGUAGGACCCAGUUCUGCCAGUGCUUCUUGUAUCUCCUCCUUCGUAUAUCUCGCCUUGAGCUUUGAGUUAUCCUCAUAAAAAAUGAGUCUAGAAAUUCCUGAUAAAAUGUGCUCAUAAUUUCCCCUUCUCCUAGCCGAAAACAAGUCAUGAAAGAACGAUCUAGCAAUCUCCUCCAUUUUACCUAUUUCAUCUGUUUCUCACCCAUCAUCAUACUGCAUUUUUUUUAAUUCAGUUCCUCCACCUUUUCUGUGUUGCUUGUUUGUGGAAGAAAGCUGUGUUUUUAUCCCUAAACUUUAACCAAUUUACUCACGCCCUCUGUUCCCAGUAACGCUCAUCUUUUUCAAUCUCAAAAUUGAGUUGAAUUCUCGUAUCAAUGAGAUCUGUCAGAUUGUCAUCAUUUCUCUCAUCUUCCAUCAACUUACUUAGUUUGGAGAUUAACAUCUUUCCCUUUCUUUUCUAUUAUACUGAAUCUAUCUAGCCCACCUCUCCAAGCCUCUUUUCACACUUUCUAAUUUGCUCAACAAAUCUUCUGUCGAAUUUUCCCAGAUAUUUUUAACCACAUUAAGAAACGAUUCCUCCAAAACCCACCAUGCUUCAGAUUUGAAAUUCUAGAUAUUCUCUCCUUAUCCUUCUUUUUCGUAUACAUAAGUAAUGGGCAAUAAUCUAAGAAUGUAUGAGGGAGGUGUUGAAGUUGAAAUUCAGAAAAUAAAGAAAGCCAUUCCUCAGUUGCUACUCCCCUGUCUAAUUGCUCUUGGAUAUUAGUUCCUAGCAGAUUACCCCGUUCCCACGUAAACCAAUUGCCCGUAAAGCUUACAUCCACCAGAUUGCAAUCCUCCAAUACCUUGCGAAAAACUUUCAUUCUUCUUUCUUCGUGAGGUAAACCUCCAUUUUUUUUCGAAACCAUACAAAAUUUCAUUAAAUUCCCCACAAACGAUCCAAAGAAGCUCUUUAAAAUCACCUAAAUGAUGUAAAAGAUUCCAUGCAUUAUCUCUAUCUUGUGAAUAAGGGGACCCGUAGUACCUAGUAAAUCUCCAUUUACUUCCUUUUUCAACUUUUUCUAUAAUCACACCAAUAUGUCUCUGCGAAAAGCUUCUAAGCUGUAUACUAUUACCUCCCCGCCAAGCCAAACAUAGCCCACCUCCAGAUCCAUUUGAAUUUACAUCUAUACCAUGUAGAAAACCAUAACUUUUUCGAACUCGUUCCAUCCGGCUCUUACAAAUCUUCGUCUUCAUAAAUAAGACAAUUUGGGGAUUAUGUAACUUCAGCACAUGCCGAAGUCUUCGAAUUGUCUGUGGGUUCCCCAAACGCCGGACAUUCCAGCUUAAUAUUUUCAUUGCAACUGGUCAGCUUGCCUCGGCAGCCGCCGAUAAUAGAUGACUGACUUUCCCUACCCUCCUAUUUUUUCCUUCCAAAUUGGUCGUCUCCUCUUUAGCCAGAAAAUCCUCCAUCUCUCCUCUAUUCCACUUUUUACCCUCUUCUCCUAUUAGUAAUCCAUCUUCAAGAUCAUGUUCCAUUAAAGUGUGAGACUGACAUUUUUUUGCUUUUUCCCCUUCGCUCCAUAAGUUAGUUAGUCGUCCUUCCAAAUUAAUCCCCAAUAUGGGAUCUAUAUUAUUUUUGUUGCGCUUAUUUGGCACUAAACCCCUCUCAUUAUUCUCCAAAAUUUGUCUUUCCUCCUUACAUACACCCCACUCCCCUUCUCAUUCUUCUCUAGCCACACACUAUUCAUCGUUAGAGCUCGAUCGGAUUGUGCCCUCAAAGAUAAGUCCCAUCCCAUCUCAGCAAUUUCCACUCCUAAUACCAUCUUUGCUUUACAAAAAGAGUCACUAUGGCCCAGUCGUCCACAAUAAAAGCAAAACAGUGACAAUCCUUCAUAUUUGAAUCUGACAUAGGAACACUUUCCAUAACACAUAAUUUGUUUCUUCCUUUUUAAAGGCCUUCGAAUAUUAAUUUGGACUCUUAUUAUCAUAAAUUUAUAUUUUCCUUUCCCAAAUUUGAUCCAUCAUACUUCAUGAAAGUACCUAUAAAGUUGUCCAUUUGGACUGCCAGAUUUUCCGAGAAAAAACCAAUAGGAACAUCAUGUAAUUGUACCCAAAAAGGGGAAAAAAUUAAAGGGACUUUCAAAAGAUCCUCCCCUCACUGCAGCUUAUGUAGGACCAAUAAAUGAUUAUUAAAAGUCCAUGGCGAACCCUUAAUUACUCUCUCUAAGUCCAUAAUAUGAAAAAAUUGAAAUAAACAUCUUUUCUCCCCCAGAUCUCGAAUCUGAACUCCUCGAACCGGAUGCCAUAAAUUUGCCAUUGUGCUCUUCAUAGCCGGGAAGUGAAUCAUGCUUGCUGUCAUAAAACACCCCACCAGUCAACAAACCUUCACUCCUCAUUCCAUAUUAGGUUCAUCCGGUACCUGUAAAAUUGCUUCUUCCUCUUCAUCAAGCGUUAACCCCGCAAAUUCUAUUUCCAUUCUGAUGCGUCAACUAAAACUGGCUAAAUCAACUUGCCAAAGCCACGAAUAAAAUUAAACAAAACUCUGCUGUUACACCAAAACAAUUAAACAAGAGAAAAACCCUAAAAACUGCCAGAUAGAGCAGACAAAAACAUGCUAGGGUAACAGACUUUUUUACUUUUAUAUUAAUAUUUUAAAUGAAAGUAAAAUCCAAUUAAUGGCUAUAAUUAAUUCUUAUUUAAUUUGAUGAAUGCUAUUAAUAUAUGCAUUUAUUUUAAAAUAUAUUUUAAGUUUAGUAAUUUACUAUAAAAAUAAUUUUAAUAUUGUAACAUUAAAACUUAAUUCAAUUAAGGAGAUAUCUUAAAAUAAAAAGAGAUAAUUUAAUUAAAAUUAAAUUAAUAUUUAGCAUUAAGUGACAAGUAGCUAUUUACAUACUUAUCUUAUUUAAUAUAUUUUAGGUUGAAAUUUUGUAUUAAGUAAAAUUUAAUACAAUUAACAAAUCAAAUUAAAAAUGUAUUUUAAAUUUUUUUCUGCACUGGAAAUUACCAAAUUUCCUUAUUUGAAUCUAUUUAAAUAAUCCUAUUAUUAAAUUAUUCUAUACGUUGAAGAUUAUUUUUAAAAAUAAUAAUAAUUUAAACAGGAAAAUAGCAUAGUUUAAAGUUCAUAUUGUAAGAAUUUUAUGUAAAUCCUAAUGUUAUAAAUAUUGCCUAAAAACAUAUAAUCUUAAAAAAUUGUUUUAAGAAUUUUAUUUCUAAAAGAAAAUAAGAAUUUUAUUUGAAAUGUAAAAUAUAAUGGAAAUAAUUUAAAAGCCAAAAGAAAAUAUGUAAUAUGUUUAGAAUCUAACGUUUCAAAUAUUGCUUUAGAUAUGUUUAGAUUUACUCAUAACAUUUUUCAACUUUUAAAUAAGAGGAUAAAUGCAUUUCAACGUGUUUGAACCCAUAUCCUCCUAAACUAACAACAAUACCAACCGUGGCAAGACUUAGUCAACAGAACAUAAAAUUCUUUAUGCAUAUUUAUUGGGUCAUUAAAAUAAUAAAAUAUAAAAUUUUAGUUUUAAUCAUGUGGAAUUGGAAUAUAAGGUUUAAUAUUUUAAGAUUUUGGAAAUUUUUUAUAUAAAGUUUAAUAUUUAAGUUUUAUAGUAAAUAUUACAAAAUAUAACAUAUCUUAUCUUUCUUUGAGUAUAAUUCACACGUCAUUAACACGAGCAAAUCAUUCUCAACACAUAUCACAAUAGAUAGCAUUAUUGUGAUUCUAAUUUAAGCAUUUCCUAAACUUUGUAUUAAUUAAGAUUAAAAGAAGUAAUAUUUAUGUAUUUUUUUAUUAAAAAUAUUGUGUAAAGUUAAAUGUAUUUUGUAAAUUAUAAUUUAUUCUUUUGAAUGAAAAUGAUAACUUGUAUUGUUCUAUAAUAUAAACUUGAUUGUAGAUUUCACUCAAAACUUUUGGACAAUUAAUAAAUUAAGAAAUCAAAAUAAAUUUUUAUUUCUAAUAUUUAUAUACAAAAAUUUUAGAAAUGUGUUUUUAAUUUAAGUUUUAAAUAACUUAAUAUUUAAGUUUUUAAUUGUACUAGAUGAAAUUGAAUUUUGAAAAAAAAAAGAAAUGAGGAAAUAGGUAAAAUUGGAAAAAUGGAUAAUGUGAUGCGGUUAAAAAUUAAUGCUUAAUUUAGGAAUUCUUCUUAAAAGUGCUUUUGGGAAAAAAAUAUUUUUGGAGAGAUGUUAAAAUUUUUAUCUUUGAAAAAAUUACUUUUAGGCUAAUUUUUGACUUUAGAAAAAAAUUC